rnacentral:rRNA from 1 species
UAGUACGGCGAGUGAAGCGGGAAGAGCUCAAGCUUUAAAUCUCCGUGCAAGUUUUGCGCGGCGAAAUGUAGUCUAUAGAGGCGUGGUCAGCGUGGGCGCUUGGGGCAAGUUCCUUGGAAGAGGACAGCAUGGAGGGUGAUACUCCCGUUCAUCCCUGAGUGGCUCGUGCGUACGACCCGUUUUCUUUGAGUCGCGUUGUUUGGGAAUGCAGCGCAAAGUAGGUGGUAAAUUCCAUCUAAAGCUAAAUAUUGGUGCGAGACCGAUAGCGAACAAGUACCGUGAGGGAAAGAUGAAAAGAACUUUGAAAAGAGAGUUAAAGAGUACCUGAAACUGCUGAAAGGGAACCGAAUCGUUUCCAGUGUCUAUAAUCUGUGGCAUAUUUCAUUGGCGAGCGUUUGCGUGCGUGUGCUGUGGCAGUGGCUUUUUUGGCUGCGCCUGGUGUGUGUGGUGCGAGUGUUUGCUGGUGCCCUGUGCUGCGGUGGGACGUCAAGGUCAGUUCGUAUGCUGCGGGAAAUGGCUGCCGAGGAGGUAGGGCUUACGCUCCGCGUUUGUCUGUUAUAUCUUGGUGGACGAGUCGUCGCGGUUGGGACUGAGGUGCCUACAACGUGCUUUUGAGUGGGUUUGUGUCUCCGUGUGCGCCGUGUGCGGAUAGCUUGCUAUGCGUGUGUGGUUGUGUGUGGAUGGAUGCGGGCCUUAACUUGUCGCCGUUC